GGAGGACUCAAAUGCUUUGAUGCUAGUGCUUCUCUAUGAAUUAUGCAAUGGAUCCACAGUGCAUCCGGAGCUUUGCUUUCGAUUAAGCGCCUUCAAACCUCCAUAACGGACAGACAUCGAACGCCCACCAUCAGUACAGACACCAACACACUUUAUCCAUUCUAAAUUAUAUUCAGCCAUAAAUGUAUCAAGGAUCUCAAACAAGUCUUGAGCCUUUGUA